rnacentral:rRNA from 1 species
AUUGAACGCUGGCGGCAGGCCUAACACAUGCAAGUCGAGCGGUAGAGAGAAGCUUGCUUCUCUUGAGAGCGGCGGACGGGUGAGUAAUGCAUAGGAAUCUGCCUGGUAGUGGGGGAUAACGUUCGGAAACGGACGCUAAUACCGCAUACGUCCUACGGGAGAAAGCAGGGGACCUUCGGGCCUUGCGCUAUCAGAUGAGCCUAGGUCGGAUUAGCUAGUUGGUGAGGUAAUGGCUCACCAAGGCGACGAUCCGUAACUGGUCUGAGAGGAUGAUCAGUCACACUGGAACUGAGACACGGUCCAGACUCCUACGGGAGGCAGCAGUGGGGAAUAUUGGACAAUGGGCGAAAGCCUGAUCCAGCCAUGCCGCGUGUGUGAAGAAGGUCUUCGGAUUGUAAAGCACUUUAAGUUGGGAGGAAGGGCAUUAACCUAAUACGUUAGUGUUUUGACGUUACCGACAGAAUAAGCACCGGCUAACUCUGUGC